CUUCUGGUUCUGGAGAGAAUGAGAUGAAGAAGGUGGUUGAAAUCCAGGUACUUGGAUGAAACUGAAGCCUACUAGAGUGAUUUGCCUGACGUCAUCAUCAUAAGCAUCAAGAGUUUGUGCCCAGGAUAUGAUUGGAAAUCUAGUGCUCUUGCAAUGAUAAUAGCAAAAUGUUUGCCAAAACCACAAUGUGAAACACAAAACAAUACAUGAUACUAUGCUGUAUAUAGUAAGCGAUGGUGGCAAGAAAAUCCAGAAAAAGUAACAAUUUCCUCUGAGGAGAAGAGUCUGAUGUCCUGGCCAAGCUGCCCCCAGUUCAGGAUUUACUGGGGUUACAAUGAUAGCAACUAAGAAUCACAGCCUUUUCACACCGGAGCCACACUAUAUUCCUGGCUAUGCCGGCUUCUAUCCCCAACUACGAUACCAGGUGGGAUACACGUAUGGCCGGACCACUGCCCAGGUGCUGACGGACCCAACAGUAAAUAAAAGCCCAUGUUCGGUGUUGGCACCGCUCAGCAAACCCAAGGUCAUUGAGGAUCAUGGUCAUGAUAAAACAUCCCAUGAGCAGAUCGAUGCAGACCAGCCCUACAGCUCCCAUUACACAGGACUCCAGCCCUCUAAGGACUUUGAGACCAGAGGACACGACGUGCUCCCGGAGCUGGAGCAGCACGGCUCUCCUGUGCCGGACAGCAAUCGGCACAAGCUUUCCACAGGCACCGAUGGGGAGGCUGUGCCCUAUCCACUAUGUCCACCGGGCAAGAAGGCCCUCGAACCUGAAGUUGGACAUCCAGGUUUACGACUGGCAUAUGGAAAGGAAGGGUGGAGAAGCUCCCCACCCCCUCUCCCCAAAGCUCCUCUCUACCCCCAGUUGUACCAACCCCGGAAAGAUGUCGAGCCCCUUCCGCCACCCCAGACGGAUGCACUAGAUGUCGGCAGGUUUGAGAAGCUUCCCAAGCUAUACACGCCCAACCUGAUCCAGCACAAAGCCAUCUCGGGCUAUGCUGGGUUCAUACCACGAUUCACUUGGGUGAUGGGAGUAAAUUAUCGAGAUGGCGUCCAGCAGGCCAUGGACGAAUUUGAUAGAAAUCAGUUAUUAAUGCGCAGAAAAGCCUCUGCAUUUGCAAGUAACAAAGAAUAUUUUCCCAGUUUUUAAUAAGAAACCCUGUUUACGCCCUUGGAGAGAGACUACCAAAACAACACUGGCCAGACACCAAAGUUUACCACAGACAAGGACUGAUACCGUUCUACACAGGAUUCAUACCAACUUUGAGAGAGACUUAUGGUUUAACAUUUGGCAGCAGUACUCGCAAAGCUUAUCGAAAUGAACAGAAGAGACGAAACAAUGCACUACGAAAAAUGCUUUAAUGGUGUUAUCUGUACAGCAUUUUGAUGUCAAAGAACAGGAAAACAGCAAGUGCAGAACGCGAGACAUGAAGAUCAGAAAAACAAGUUU